rnacentral:rRNA from 1 species
AACGUAGGUGGCGAGCGUUAUCCGGAUUUACUGGGCGUAAAGGGCGCGUAGGCGGCCACCGUAAGUCGACUGUGAAAUCUCCGGGCUUAACCCGGAAAGGUCAGCCGAUACUGCGGGCUAGAGUGCAGAAGGGGCAACUGGAAUUCUCGGUGUAGCGGUGAAAUGCGUAGAUAUCGAGAGGAACACCUGCGGCGAAGGCGGGUUGCUGGGCUGACACUGACGCUGAGGCGCGAAAGCUAGGGGAGCGAACGGG